rnacentral:tRNA from 1 species
GGGGAGGUAGCUCAGUGGUAGAGUGAUUGCCUUGCAUGCAUGAGGCUCUGGGUUCGAUUCCUCAGCACCCCA